GACUCCUACGGGAGGCAGCAGUGGGGAAUAUUGCACAAUGGGCGCAAGCCUGAUGCAGCGACGCCGCGUGAGGGAUGGAGGCCUUCGGGUUGUAAACCUCUUUUAUCGGGGAGCAAGCGAGAGUGAGUUUACCCGUUGAAUAAGCUCCGGCUAACUACGUGCC
rnacentral:rRNA from 1 species